UAGGGAAUCUUCCGCAAAGGGCGAAAGCCUGACGGAGCAACGCCGCGUGAGUGAUGAAGGUCUUCGGAUCGUAAAACUCUGUUAUUAGGGAAGAACAAAUGUGUAAGUAACUAUGCACGUCUUGACGGUACCUAAUCAGAAAGCCACGGCUAACUACGUGCCAGCAGCCGCGGUAAUACGUAGGUGGCAAGCGUUAUCCGGAAUUAUUGGGCGUAAAGCGCGCGUAGGCGGUUUUUUAAGUCUGAUGUGAAAGCCCACGGCUCAACCGUGGAGGGUCAUUGGAAACUGGAAAACUUGAGUGCAGAAGAGGAAAGUGGAAUUCCAUGUGUAGCGGUGAAAUGCGCAGAGAUAUGGAGGAACACCAGUGGCGAAGGCGACUUUCUGGUCUGUAACUGACGCUGAUGUGCGAAAGCGUGGGGAUCAAACAGG
rnacentral:rRNA from 1 species